rnacentral:rRNA from 1 species
UACGUAGGGUGCAAGCGUUGUCCGGAAUUAUUGGGCGUAAAGAGCUCGUAGGCGGUCUGUCGCGUCUGCUGUGAAAACUCGGGGCUUAACCCCGGGCCUGCAGUGGGUACGGGCAGACUAGAGUGCGGUAGGGGGAGACUGGAAUUCCUGGUGUAGCGGUGAAAUGCGCAGAUAUCAGGAGGAACACCGGUGGCGAAGGCGGGUCUCUGGGCAACUACUGACGCUGAGGAGCGAAAGCGUGGGGAGCGAAC